rnacentral:rRNA from 1 species
AGAGCGAACGCUGGCGGCAGGCCUAAUACAUGCAAGUCGAGCGGGUGUAGCAAUACACCAGCGGCAGACGGGAGAGUAACACGUGGGAACGUGCCCUUCAGUUCGGAACAACCCAGGGAAACUUGGGCUAAUACCGGAUACGUCCGUAAGGAGAAAGAUUUAUCGCUGAAGGAUCGGCCCGCGUCUGAUUAGCUUGUUGGUGGGGUAAUGGCUCACCAAGGCGACGAUCAGUAGCUGGUCUGAGAGGAUGAUCAGCCUCACUGGGACUGAGACACGGCCCAGACUCCUACGGGAGCAGCAGUAGGGAAUAUUGGACAAUGGGCGCAAGCCUGAUCCAGCCAUGCCGCGUGGGUGAUGAAGGCCCUAGGGUUGUAAAGCCCUUUCGGCGGGAAGAUAAUGACGGUACCGCAGAAGAAGCCCCGGCUAACUUCGUGCCAGCAGCCGC